CUCAGCUGUGUAGCUGGAAGAAGUGGGUGAAAAGUCUGACAAAUCUACAGCUUUUUUUUUUUUUGUUCAUCUCCGCCACUAAAUGAUCGGUCAAACAGUAGUGAGUGGAUGAGAUGUUUCCUGAAGGCGCGGGACCCGAUGAUUGAUGUUUGGCUCCAAAGCUGUGGGUCAUCGCGGAGUGAUGGCGGAGCCGCGGACACCGACCUCCCGUGUUUGCAUCCGCCAGUCUCGCCAAGAAAUAGCCAAACUUAUCCACGAUAUUGAGGACAUAACUCAGUGUAAAUAUGUGAGCGUCUGCAGUGACGAGAAUGUCAACGAUGUGGUCUGGAGAUCAUGUGCACAAGAAAAGAAGAUUCUUGGCACAAGACGCCAAAAAGAUUGGCUGCCCUGCAGAGCUCAAGGUGACAAGAGUGGCCACGUUUCCUGACCAUAAGGUAAAGUUGUUAGUUACUAUAUAUCUCCAGUUACCUUAUAUAUACAGUCCUGUGCCAAAGUUUGAGACAUUAAGAGUAAAGUGACAGUGCUUUCAAAAAUAAUGUCACUGUUCGUAUGUGGACUUAGGCUGUCUCAGUGUCUUCUGUCUCGUCAUGUAAUCCCAGACUGACUCCACGAUGUUAAGAUCAGGGGUCUGUGUGGGCCAGACCAUCUGUUGCACGACUCUUUGUUCUUCUUGUCUCUGAAGAUAGCUCUUCAUGACUGUGCCUGUAUGUUUGGGGUUGUUGUCGUCAUGCUGCAGAAUGAAUCUGGGACCGAUCAGACGCCUACCUGAUGGUACUUCGUGAUGGAUAAGAAUCUAAACAUCUUAACAAGACUUUUGCACAGUACUGUAGAUUUUCAGGGACAGUGUGUGGGAAAGAAAGCGUGCAGGACAAACCCUGAGGAUGACCCUACAAGAGAACAAGCCAGUAGCCUGGGAAAACACCUACUAUGUGUUGGUACCACUACUGGAGGAUCAUGUUGGCCAUCCUGUUGUUGGAAAGGUGGCUUGCGUUCGAGAAGUGGUUGACCCCAGGGUUGAGGAAAGAAAAAAGGAGCUGUUACGACGGGGAGUCAAGAGUGUCAGUGAAAUGCGCAGGCAUAUCAGAGAAUUUGUAAAGCGCAACCUUUUCAAAGGUGAAAAGCCACCUCCACUGACAAGGUAUCACUAUUACACCCUGCACCAAAACUUGAGAAAUAUCAUGAAAUGUGCACGUGAUGCUGUCAGUCACCCCAGUGAUGAUCAGGAGAACUUGCAGAUCCUUGCACAGACAUGGAGAAACAGAGACCCUGGUGACAACAUCUUUGUCAGGCCACAUCGAGAGAGGGAAGAUUUCCUUCCGUGCUACCAGACAAAGUGGCAGCAGCGACUUCUGCACCUGUAUGGGCGGGACGUCUGCCUCCUUCAUGCCGCGUUUAAGAUGACGAAGCACGAACUGCCGUUGUUUUUCCUGUGGGUCCGCACAAAUAGAUUGCAGAGCUGUCCUGUGUGAUUUCCACCAGGAUAGGGUGUGGGGUGAAUGGAUGAGAAAAGUGGACCAUGGGGUACAGAAUCAAGCCAUGACACUAGCCCUUUCUGAGAAGAAUCGCUGCAGCUGACACUCUCCAGGAGUAUUAGCAGGCACUCAAGCAGCUUCAGGACAGUGAGCAAUGGACCAGGAAUCUCCUCUUCCAGAAAUGGUUUUAGACAACAUGGCUCCCUGAGGUGAAGAGAUGGGUCACAGUUUUCCUUGAGGAUUCGCUGCCACAGAAAAUCACAACCAACAGUGGGCUUGAGCGGCUGAAUGAGACUUUGAGGUUCAGGCACCUGGAGAACAACCAGACCGGCACCACGAGUGAAAUGAUGACAAUGAUUGUCGAUUUCAUCCCCCAGAUGCAAAAGAAGUACACGCAGCUGAACAUCCAAUGUUCCUCUGGGUACAAGUACAGUGCCAGUACACCCACCUUCCUUCACAACCGACCAUGUGACAUGGUGAUUCACAUCAAAGACCGAAUGGCAGCAGAUUUAGGUCCUGAACAUGUUACACAAAUGUCUCAUGGAACAUUCAAGGUGACCAGUGAGUCAGACGGAGGGAGUUGUGUUGUCACACUAGCGUCAAGCUGUACUCUACCAUCAUGCAGUUGUGAAGACUGGAAGAGAAACAGACUUCCGUGCAAACACUUUUGUGCAGUCUUUAAAGCGGGAUGGACAUGGGAUGACCUCUGCCAACAGUACAAAAACAAGUUUGCAGUUUACAGUUUGCUUUUGGAAGGACAAUCCAUCUCAACCUGUCUGCAGGACAAGUUUAUCCAAGCGACUAUUAUCUAUACUUUAGAAAGGCUCUGAAAGCUAAAAUGCAUUCCUCCUAUUGGAAUGUGAAGACAAUCUUUCCUUUCACAAAAGUCAACAACAGUGACAUUCGUACAUAGAACAUUUCUAAGAUAGAUCUAAGUAAAUGCAGAGUUGUUUAUGUUGUCAGAUGCUUGUAUUUUUUUAAUUUCAGAUGCUUUGUAGUGUAUGAGUCUGGCAAAUUAUUUC